rnacentral:rRNA from 1 species
UGGGGAAUAUUGCACAAUGGGCGAAAGCCUGAUGCAGCGACGCCGCGUGAGUGAAGAAGUAUCUCGGUAUGUAAAGCUCUAUCAGCAGGGAAGAAAAUGACGGUACCUGACUAAGAAGCCCCGGCUAACUACGUGCCAGCAGCCGCGGUAAUACGUAGGGGGCAAGCGUUAUCCGGAUUUACUGGGUGUAAAGGGAGCGUAGACGGCGAUGCAAGUCUGAAGUGAAAGCCCGGGGCUCAACCCCGGGACUGCUUUGGAAACUGUGUGGCUGGAGUGCAGGAGAGGUAAGUGGAAUUCCUAGUGUAGCGGUGAAAUGCGUAGAUAUUAGGAGGAACACCAGUGGCGAAGGCGGCUUACUGGACUGUAACUGACGCUCAGGUGCGAAAGCGUGGGGAGCAAACAG